UCAAAUAUCCUAUUAUAAUAAAAUAAAAAUAUUAAUUGGAUAAAAGAACUUUAUAAAAACUUCAAUCAAAGAAAAAUCUAAAACUAAAAGUAAAAUAUUAAUAUUAAAUGGAUUCUUGCUAUCGGCGAAUAGAAAAUUCGAAUUCUAUUUAAAUUCAUCACGGUUAUUAAAAAUUAAAUUUAAACUCGCCUUAUAUACUUUUUAAAUCCAUUUUAUUACGUUUGGAUAAAGUAGAUACUUUAGAAGUAUUUGAUCUAUUGCCAUCCCUAGGUCUAUAAGAAUUGGGAAAAUGCUCAUUUUUGCCCCUAAUGUUUGGGCUGCGGAAUAAAUAUGCUUUUAAACUAAAACUCGGGACAUUUAAAUCAUGUUUUUUUUAGGGAAAAUGAAUGCCAGAUGCCCUAACCUUUGAGCAUUUUCGCGAAUCAACCUUCACCUUUAAAACUUAUCAAUUUGGUCCGCCAUGUUUGCAUAUUUUAUCAUAUCUACCUACAAGCGUUUUGGCGCAUGCCACUCAUGACAUGGCGUCCACACGUGGCAAUAAAUGUUGGCCUACAUGACUCAGGACUUGAAGACCUCAAAACUCACAAUUUCUUACCAAGAUUUUCUCAAUUUUUUCCCCAAUUCUAAUUUCUAAAGGGAAUUAAAACUUAGGGUUUUCUUCUUCCUCUCAUGACCACUUCGAUAUUAUUCUUCUUCACUUAGAAACUUUAACCAAUUAAUGCAAAAUGCAAAGGGCAUCAUCAAGAUCUUCUGUUGUCAAUAAUCGAUAGUAUUUAUGUGGGACUGAAGUAGCAUCUUGUGAAUGUGAGAGACCAGCGAAGCUAAUGAUAUCAGGGACAACGAAAAAUCUAAGGCGUCUGUUACGAGGUUGGUCGUACAGUGAGGGGCAGAGCUGUGUUUUGUUUAGCCGUCCUGACAAUUGGGUGAAUAAGAGGAAGUUUGACAAUUGGGGCGGAGCUGUGCUCUUACACUAACGAUUGAACAAAAUAUGAAGCGAAGUUUGAUGUUUUUCAAGUUCGGUUUCUAUAGUAUGGUUGAACAUUGUAAUGAAUGAUUGAAAAGCUGGAAAAUAUGAAGGGAAGUUUGAUGUUUGAUGAUUAGUUUGUGGUGUCUCUGCCAGACAGGAGUUGCACUUGCAGAGGUUGGCAAUUGACUAGAAUUCCUUGCAUUCAUGGUCGGUUACAAGCUUUAUGGUUGAUGUAGCAAGGUGUAUGAUUUGUUUUUGUAGUAGACGGGUGGGGUUGAACCUUGUAAUGAAUGGUGAAAUGAAUUACCAACUUUUGUAAUUGAUUAUGCAAUGAAGCUCUUAUUUUUUCUCUUGUA